UACCUGGUUGAUCCUGCCAAUAGUCAUAUGCU
rnacentral:rRNA from 1 species